UUAAUAUAUGAAAGCAGAAUAAAUAGCGAUAUCUGUGGAAUCUAUGGACUAUGAUCUAAGGAUGUCAAACGGUUUCAAACUUCAACUGUUAUCGUAAAACUUCAUUCAGCCGCGGACAUCUGACGGGGAAUCACUUAGGUUUUGAAUGCGGAGAAAAAAGUAAAGGAAUGAGGACUUCUAUAAUUUUCCUUGUGGCAAUUUUCACAAUUGAAUACGUCCGUCAAACAGAGGCAGAAACGUUAUGCACGGUUGAUAUAUCCACGGGUAACCAUGGUUUUCGGACAAAUAAAACGAUGUACUGUUAACAUGGGUGCUGCGGCUCGUCGUAUGACAAAACCAGGGAGUGUUGUCAAAGUGGUGGAGGAACAAGCGUGGGAAUAUAUAUCGGGGGUGGGGCCGGA